UACGGAGGAUGCGAGCGUUAUCCGGAUUUAUUGGGUUUAAAGGGUGCGUAGGCGGAUUUUUAAGUCAGCGGUAAAAUGUCCGGGCUCAACCCGGGCCGGCCGUUGAAACUGGGGAUCUUGAGUGAGUGAGAAGUAAGCGGAAUGCGUGGUGUAGCGGUGAAAUGCAUAGAUAUCACGCAGAACGCCGAUUGCGAAGGCAGCUUACCGGCGCUCAACUGACGCUGAGGCACGAAAGUGCGGGUAUCGAACAGG
rnacentral:rRNA from 1 species